rnacentral:rRNA from 1 species
GACGAACGCUGGCGGCGUGCUUAACACAUGCAAGUCGAACGGUAAGGCUCCAGCUUGCUGGGGUACACGAGUGGCGAACGGGUGAGUAACACGUGGGUGACCUGCCCUGCACUUCGGGAUAAGCCUGGGAAACUGGGUCUAAUACCGGAUAGGACCGCACCGUGAGGGUGUGGUGGAAAGUUUUUUCGGUGUGGGAUGGGCCCGCGGCCUAUCAGCUUGUUGGUGGGGUAAUGGCCUACCUAGGCGGCGACGGGUAGCCGGCCUGAGAGGGUGGACGGCCACAUUGGGACUGAGACACGGCCCAGACUCCUACGGGAGGCAGCAGUGGGGAAUAUUGCACAAUGGGCGGAAGCCUGAUGCAGCGACGCCGCGUGGGGGAUGACGGCCUUCGGGUUGUAAACUCCUUUCACCAUCGACGAAGGGUUUCUGACGGUAGAUGGAGAAGAAGCACCGGCUAACUACGUGCCAGCAGCCGCGGUAAUACGUAGGGUGCGAGCGUUGUCCGGAAUUACUGGGCGUAAAGAGCUCGUAGGUGGUUUGUCGCGUCGUCUGUGAAAUUCCGGGGCUUAACUCCGGGCGUGCAGGCGAUACGGGCAUAACUUGAGUACUGUAGGGGAGACUGGAAUUCCUGGUGUAGCGGUGAAAUGCGCAGAUAUCAGGAGGAACACCGGUGGCGAAGGCGGGUCUCUGGGCAGUAACUGACGCUGAGGAGCGAAAGCAUGGGGAGCGAACAGGAUUAGAUACCCUGGUAGUCCAUGCCGUAAACGGUGGGCGCUAGGUGUGGGUUUCCUUCCACGGGAUCCGUGCCGUAGCUAACGCAUUAAGCGCCCCGCCUGGGGAGUACGGCCGCAAGGCUAAAACUCAAAGGAAUUGACGGGGGCCCGCACAAGCGGCGGAGCAUGUGGAUUAAUUCGAUGCAACGCGAAGAACCUUACCUGGGCUUGACAUAUACAGGAUCGCGUCAGAGAUGGUGUUUCCCUUGUGGCUUGUAUACAGGUGGUGCAUGGUUGUCGUCAGCUCGUGUCGUGAGAUGUUGGGUUAAGUCCCGCAACGAGCGCAACCCUUGUCUUAUGUUGCCAGCACGUUGUGGUGGGGACUCGUAAGAAACUGCCGGGGUUAACUCGGAGGAAGGUGGGGAUGACGUCAAAUCAUCAUGCCCCUUAUGUCCAGGGCUUCACACAUGCUACAAUGGUCGGUACAGUGGGUUGCCAGUCCGUGAGGGCGAGCUAAUCCCGCAAAGCCGGUCCCAGUUCGGAUCGGGGUCUGCAACUCGACCCCGUGAAGUCGGAGUCGCUAGUAAUCGCAGAUCAGCAACGCUGCGGUGAAUACGAACCCGGGCCU